UGGCUCAGUGGUUAAGAGCACUGACUGCUAUUCCAGAGGACCUGGGUUCAGUUCCCAG
rnacentral:tRNA from 1 species